UACGUAGGGUGCGAGCGUUAAUCGGAAUUACUGGGCGUAAAGCGUGCGCAGGCGGCGCGUUAAGACAGGUGUGAAAGCCCCGAGCUUAACUUGGGAAUUGCGCUUGUGACUGGCGUGCUGGAGUGUGGCAGAGGGAGGUGGAAUUCCACGUGUAGCAGCGAAAUGCGUAGAGAUGUGGAGGAACACCGAUGGCGAAGGCAGCCUCCUGGGCCAGCACUGACGCUCAUGCACGAAAGCGUGGGGAGCAAACAGG
rnacentral:rRNA from 1 species